rnacentral:rRNA from 1 species
GUCUUUCAAGUCCGAUGCUAAAGACUGGGGCUCAACCCCAGGGGUGCGUUGGAUACUGUGAGGCUAGACGGUCGGAGGGGGUAGCGGAAUUUCCGGAGUAGCGGUGAAAUGCGCAGAUACCGGAAGGAACGCCAAUAGCGAAGGCAGCUACCUGGACGACUUGUGACGCUGAGGCGCGAAAGCGUGGGGAGCAAACCGGAUUAGAUACCCGGGUAGUCCACGCCCUAAACCAUGAGUGCUGGGUGUCCGGCUUCUGCUGGGUGCCGUAGCUAACGCGCUAAGCACUCCGCCUGGGAAGUACGCACGCAAGUGUGAAACUCAAAGGAAUUGACGGGGGCCCGCACAAGCGGUGGAGCAUGUGGUUUAACUCGAAGCGACGCGAAGAACCUUACCAGGCCUUGACAUGCCCGGAACCCCUCUGAAAGGAGGGGGUGCCCGCAAGGGAGCCGGGACACAGGUGCUGCAUGGCCGUCGUCAGCUCGUGUCGUGAGAUGUUGGGUUAAGUCCCGCAACGAGCGCAACCCCUAUCCCUAGUUGCCAGCAGUUCGGCUGGGCACUCUAUGGAGACUGCCUGCGAAAGCAGGAGGAAGGCGGGGAUGACGUCUGGUCCGCAUGGCCCUUACGGCCUGGGCGACACACGUGCUACAAUGCCAAGGACAGAGCGCUGCUACCUCGCGAGAGGACGCCAAUCGCAAAAACCUUGGCUCAGUUCGGAUUGGAGUCUGCAACUCGACU